rnacentral:piRNA from 1 species
UAGACUAUUGAUUAGAUGGAAGUGGUGAUC